rnacentral:rRNA from 1 species
GUGUCAGCAACCGCGGUAAUACGUAGGUGGCAAGCGUUGUCCGGAUUUAUUGGGCGUAAAGCGAGCGCAGGCGGUUUCUUGAGUCUGAUGUGAAAGCCUUCGGCUCAACCGAAGAAGUGCAUCGGAAACUGGGAAACUUGAGUGCAGAAGAGGACAGUGGAACUCCAUGUGUAGCGGUGAAAUGCGUAGAUAUAUGGAAGAACACCAGUGGCGAAGGCGGCUGUCUGGUCUGUAACUGACGCUGAGGCUCGAAAGCAUGGGUAGCAAACAGGAUUAGAUACCCUGGUAGUCCAUGCCGUAAACGAUGAGUGCUAGGUGUUGGAGGGUUUCCGCCCUUCAGUGCCGCAGCUAACGCAUUAAGCACUCCGCCUGGGGAGUACGACCGCAAGGUUGAAACUCAAAGGAAUUGACGGGGGCCCGCACAAGCGGUGGAGCAUGUGGUUUAAUUCGAAGCAACGCGAAGAACCUUACCAGGUCUUGACAUCCUUUGACCACUCUAGAGAUAGAGCUUUCCCUUCGGGGACAAAGUGACAGGUGGUGCAUGGUUGUCGUCAGCUCGUGUCGUGAGAUGUUGGGUUAAGUCCCGCAACGAGCGCAACCCUUAUUACUAGUUGCCAGCAUUUAGUUGGGCACUCUAGUGAGACUGCCGGUGACAAACCGGAGGAAGGUGGGGACGACGUCAAAUCAUCAUGCCCCUUAUGACCUGGGCUACACACGUGCUACAAUGGAUGGUACAACGAGUUGCGAGACCGCGAGGUUUAGCUAAUCUCUUAAAACCAUUCUCAGUUCGGAUUGUAGGCUGCAACUCGCCUACAUGAAGCCGGAAUCGCUAGUAAUCACGGAUCAGCAUGCCCCGCUGAAUACUUUCCCUGGCCU